GAUGAAGAACUUAGCGAACUGCGAUAAGUAAUGUGAAUUGCAGAAUUCAGUGAAUCAUCGAGUCUUUGAACGCACAUUGCGCCCCCUGGCAUUCCGGGGGGCAUGCCUGUCCGAGCGUCAUUGCUGCCCUUCAAGCCCGGCUUGUGUGUUGGGUCGUCGUCCCCCCCGGGGGACGGGCCCGAAAGGCAGCGGCGGCACCGCGUCCGGUCCUCGAGCGUAUGGGGCUUUGUCACCCGCUCGAUUAGGGCCGGCCGGGCGCCAGCCGGCGUCUCCAACCUUUUAUUUUACCAGGUUGACCUCGGAUCAGGUAGGGAUACCCGCUGAACUUAAGCAUAUCAAUAAGCGGAGGA
rnacentral:misc_RNA from 1 species